GAUGAACGCUGGCGGCGUGCCUAAUACAUGCAAGUCGAGCGAACGGACGAGAAGCUUGCUUUUCUGAUGUUAGCGGCGGACGGGUGAGUAACACGUGGAUAACCUACCUAUAAGACUGGGAUAACUUCGGGACACCGGAGCUAAUACCGGAUAAUCUUUUGAACCGCAUGGUUCAUAAGUGAAAGACGGUCUUGCUGUCACUUCUAGAUGGAUCCGCGCUGCAUUAGCUAGUUGGUAAGGUAACGGCUUACCAAGGCAACGAUGCAUAGCCGACGUGAGAGGGUGAUCGGCCACACUGGAGCUGAGACACGGUCCAGACUCCUACGGGAGGCAGCAGUAGGGAAUCUUCCGCAAUGGGCGAAAGCAUGACGGAGCAACGCCGCGUGAGUGAUGAAGGUCUUCGGAUCGUAAAACUCUGUUAUUAGGGAAGAACAUAUGUGUAAGGAACUGUGCACAGCUUGACGGUACCUAAUCAGAAAGCCACGGCUAACUACGUG
rnacentral:rRNA from 1 species